AAUGGUGUCUUUACGUUGUAGUGUCACUUUGAGUGAAACUUUGAUUCAUAAAUUCAGAAAGAAUUUUAGUAGUUUCAAAGUAGUAGUUUAAUUCUAAUUUCAAAAUAAGUAUUUUUCGCCCGAUUUUGGUGUGAAAGAAAGACUAAUUCCGUGUUGUUUUAAAACACAAACGAAGAUGCAACUUAAAAAAUGGUUUGCGUACGCCUUUUUCUUAAGCAUGGCAGCAACAGAUAAAAACUUAUGUUCUGCUGAACCAAGCAGUAUUCGCUCAAAAGUGUUGGAUACAAUCGAAACGGUUCAGGAUGUAUUGAAAAGCCUAUUUGACCUGGCAGAAGAAGGAAGAAAAAAUACAACGAAUUCAACAGACUCCAAUAAGUCUAAUGAAAAAAUAUGAUUUUUUCAAGGGUGACUCGAUUAAAGCAAUUCAUACAUUUGGAUAACUAGCAUGACACUAUACCAAACCUUACUAUUGACAGUUAGAGGCAUAUGCCAGCUUUUCAUUACGCAUAAAAGCUUUGUAGCAUUCAUACAUGUAAUAUCAAGAGAUAGAUGUAUAAAUUAUAUUCAUAACAUACUGCUUGUCUUUAAAUAACAUUCAUCUAGCGUAAAAGUUUAUAGAAACACGUGUCUUUUCAUACAUUAGUUAAAAAACUGAAAAGAGUAAAAUGAGGUGUAAGAGAAUCAUUAAAACAAGUUUUUUUUUAAAGUAAGGAUAAUGAAACAUAUGAGUUUAAAAAAAACAAGACAAGGAGUCAUGAUGGCAGAAAUGGCAUACGGAGACGAGCUAGUUAUCGUAUCCUGCAGUCAACAGGAAAAGAAUUCUUUACAGUGUAGCACUCGCAUAUAAAAAAUAGAACGUAUUCUUUGACUUAACCCGGAAAACAAAAAAUACAGAUACAUACGGAACCGAAGAUACCUUCACAUACUGCUAAUAGUAAGAUGAUAUUACCGAGAGAAACUAUUGUAGUCGAUUCCUUCUGCGAGCAUUUAAUACUUGAUGGUACUGAGAAAAGGAAACCGAAGACAAAAAAGCUUGUGUCGCUAAAUACCUAAGGAAAUACUCAGAUUUUCCAAAAUUUU